rnacentral:rRNA from 1 species
AUUGAACGCUGGCGGCAGGCCUAACACAUGCAAGUCGAACGAGUGGCGGACGGGUGAGUAAUGUCUGGGAACCCCCCCUACGGAUGGGGAUAACUACUGGAACCGGUAGCUAUUACCGCAUACCAUCAGAUUUUCCCAGAUGGGAUUAGCGUGUUGGUGAGUUAACGGCUCACCAAGGCGACGAUCCCUAGCUGGUCUGAGAGGGUGACCGGCCACACUGGAACUGAGACACGGUCCAGACUCCUACGGGAGGCAGCAGUGGGGAAUAUUGCACAAUGGGCGAAAGCCUGAUGCAGCAAUGCCGCGUGUAUGAAGAAGGCCUGCGGGUUGUAAAGUACUUUCAGCGGGGAGGCGUUACCCGCAGAAGAAGCACCGGCUAACUCCGUGCCAGCAGCCGCGGUAAUUC